rnacentral:pre_miRNA from 1 species
UUGUGAAUCCCAGGGCGCUUCUCCUUUGGCACGGUGGUACUGAUAAUAGAAGUUAGUCAGGUGAUCGUGCAGGUGAAGAAGCUCCAGGGAAGCUAGCCCUGUCGUGCGUGCCAAAGGAGAAUUGCCCUGCGAUUCACCU